rnacentral:rRNA from 1 species
GACGGGGGGGGGCAAGUGUUCUUCGGAAUGACUGGGCGUAAGGGCACGUAGGCGGUGAAUCGGGUUGAAAGUGAAAGUCGCCAAAAAGUGGCGGAAUGCUCUCGAAACCAAUUCACUUGAGUGAGACAGAGGAGAGUGGAAUUUCGUGUGUAGGGGUGAAAUCCGUAGAUCUACGAAGGAACGCCAAAAGCGAAGGCAGCUCUCUGGGUCCCUACCGACGCUGGGGUGCGAAAGCAUGGGGAGCGAACAGG